rnacentral:lncRNA from 1 species
GGACUUUAUCCCUCCCACAACAAAACCCAAUCGACCUUCUCCCUCCGCAGCCCUAAAUCCCUAGCUAGCUCACGCCGACCGACUCCCAGCUCCCUCCUCAACCCUUUUCACCGAUCUCAGCCAUUCCCUCCGCCGAGCGACCCCAAAUCGCGUUCCUCCUCCGCAUCUCCUUCCCCUCCUCCCCCUCUCCGUUGGCCUCCUCUCCGUGGACAUCUUCCUCCUCCUCCGCCGCAGAGCACUCACACGGCGUUUGAAGUUUGGAGCCGGCAAGGACAGGGACAAGGCCAGG